UAGCUUCAGUAGCUCAAAUGCCAAAAUUAGAACAAAACAGAGAAAAUUAUCAUGGGCCCUGCACAAGGUUAAAAUGCAAAUUUGUGAAGUGUUUCAUAUUUUU